GACGUAGGGGGCGAGCGUUGUCCGGAUUUAUUGGGCGUAAAGCGUGCGUAGGCGGCUGCGCAAGUCGGGUGUGAAACCCCGGGGCUCAACCCCGGAACUGCAUCCGAUACUGCGUGGCUAGAGGUAGGUAGGGGAGAUCGGAAUUCCUGGUGUAGCGGUGAAAUGCGCAGAUAUCAGGAGGAACACCGGUGGCGAAGGCGGAUCUCUGGGCCUUACCUGACGCUCAUGCACGAAAGCGUGGGGAGCAAACAGG
rnacentral:rRNA from 1 species